AAAACUUUCAACAACGGAUCUCUUGGUUCUGGCAUCGAUGAAGAACGCAGCGAAAUGCGAUAAGUAAUGUGAAUUGCAGAAUUCAGUGAAUCAUCGAAUCUUUGAACGCACAUUGCGCCCCCUGGUAUUCCGGGGGGCAUGCCUGUUCGAGCGGCAUUU
rnacentral:rRNA from 1 species